CUGACAGUAAACUGCUUGACUGUAAUCGUUCCUCUUCUUCUUAUUAAGGUCGGAUUUAUUUCUCCGAUUGGCAAAGUCAAAACAAGGGAAAUUUGACCUCUGGAUGAAGAUUCAGGGUAUAUACCAAAAGAUCUCCAGAAGACUGCACGACAAGAGGGGUGAUUUCAACCUGUCAACAAUCAACUUACUUUUAUGUCGACCAAUAUUCCAGGAGUUCUAGCCUUUAACGCCUACGUUUGGCGCACCCAUCAUGUCCUCCUCCACGUCCGCGACUCAGUUAACAGUAUGUUGGGACAGGUUUUAUAACCGAGCACAUCGUCAAUACCAUCUUCCCUAAAUUACUUUGGACAAAACUACAACCCUGAUGUAUAGAAGACACGGUUAAAGAGGAAGACAUCGGUUUCAAUCAACAACACCUCGUGCCCAUGGAAUCAAGAAGCCUGGAGAAGGUUCUGGCCUAACCGUCUGCUCAGCUCAUCCACAGACGCUCAGUUGGAGUCGAGAUUCGGUGACCUUGACGACCACGGUGUACGUGUAUGUUCUGAGCUCUCAAGAAUCAGCACAGACGCAAUUGAUGAUGUAAUCGACACCACUGCCACCGCUGCAACGAUAACGUUGGCGUAAUUAAAAUGUAUGACCCCCUUGCUCGGAUUUCGGCAUCUUGCUAUGAGAUACGGGACGUAAACAAGAAUAGUUUACUUUGCAGUCAGUCCUGGUGAGGCGGAGUCUAUGACGAUCUGGUGUGGUGCCGUACGUAUUGCCCGCGUCGUGCCCAAAGUUGGGAAUUGCACUCUGGGCAAGGCUGAGGUGCACUGCCACUGAUGACUGAUUGCCCAGCUUCAACUCAACAACGUUAUUUCUCGCAUGAUUAUUGAGUCUUGGCAAGACGAUUCGCAAACUUCACUUCGUUAAGUGAAUGAUUUGUUAAAACGACAUGAUUGUGUAUUGAACGUUCUCUUUACGUUUCUAAGAAUUCGAAUCAUGCAAAUAUCAAAGGUCAUGGAUAUUGUGUCUAUCAAAGGCAAUAAACCGUUUUGUGACACUUUGUCGAUAACAAAGAACAUGUAGAUUAAUUAUAAGGCUGUACUUUACCAUCUCCUUUUAAAAAUAUUGCUACCCCCUAUGCUGUUCUAUGAGAGUAUAGUGUCACGUUUAACUGUACAAACGCCUACCACCACCAGGUGACAAUUGUGCUUCAUAUCAAUUGAUGUAAAUAUUAUAUUAUUAAAAAAGCAAUAAUUAUUGUAUAAUAUUUUGGCAUUCAUCUGCUCAUAACAAGAGGGGUUGUGUAACAACUCAAUUAACAUUCAAUUUGUUGUGCUCUCUCAACCGGUUACGUACAGUUCUGCCAGAAAUUGUUCUCAACCCUGGAAAUGUCAGAGCUGAAAGUGUGGCAGUUUGGUAUUCAAUCCAUAGAUGCACCAACCGAAUAUGGUUGUCUUGUUGACUUGACGUCACAAGUGGACGGCCGGUUCGUGGAAAGUCAUGAGUGUUGUCCUGCUGUAGAUAACGUAUCCAAAAAGAUUAUAUUGUGUUUCGAUGAACAUUAAAAUGUCUCGCUCCUU